GGGGUAUAGCUCAGGGUUAGAGCAUAAGACUGCAGACCGAGAGGCCACCAGUUUGAUUCCAGAUGCCCCCU
rnacentral:tRNA from 1 species